CCAGACUCCUACGGGAGGCAGCAGUGGGGGAUAUUGCACAAUGGGGGAAACCCUGAUGCAGCGACGCCGCGUGGGUGAAGAAGCGCCUCGGCGCGUAAAGCCCUUUCAGCAGGGAAGAAAAUGACGGUACCUGACUAAGAAGCCCCGGCUAACUACGUGCCAGCAGCCGCGGUAAUACGUAGGGGGCAAGCGUUAUCCGGAUUUACUGGGUGUAAAGGGAGCGUAGACGGCAGUGCAAGUCCGGAGUGAAGGCCCGGGGCUCAACCCUGGGACUGCUCUGGAAACUGCGUCGCUGGAGUACGGGAGGGGCAGGCGGAAUUCCUGGUGUAGCGGUGAAAUGCGUAGAUAUCAGGAGGAACACCGGUGGCGAAGGCGGCCUGCUGGACCGUGACUGACGUUGAGGCUCGAGAGCGUGGGGAGCAAACAGGAUUAGAUACCCGUGUACAG
rnacentral:rRNA from 1 species